rfam:Schistosoma rodhaini strain Burundi genome assembly, scaffold: SROB_scaffold0001449
ACCCAGCUGACGAGUCCUAAAUAGGACGGAAUACGCGUCCUGAAU